rnacentral:rRNA from 1 species
UACGAAGGGGGCUAGCGUUGCUCGGAAUCACUGGGCGUAAAGCGCACGUAGGCGGACUUUUAAGUCGGUGGUGAAAUCCUGGAGCUCAACUCCAGAACUGCCUCCGAUACUGAGAGUCUUCGAGUCCGGGAGAGGUGAGUGGAACUGCGAGUGUAGAGGUGAAAUUCGUAGAUAUUCGCAAGAACACCAGUGGCGAAGGCGGCUCACCUGGCCCGGUACUGACGCUGAGGUGCGAAAGCGUGGGGAGCAAACAGG